GAUGAAUGCAGAGGUGGUAGGAUGUACCUGUAACACUGCUGGGAGGGAGUCCUGGUCCUAAUAGCACAACCACUUCAACAGACUGGCAAGUGCACAGAUCCAUGCCAUCUCAGUAAAAGACAUGUUCCCGGGAAGACUUCUGAUCAAAUUUGGUUCUUCUCAGCUGAUGUUGCUGGGUUUUGGGAUGAGGACAGACAUUUCACUCUAAUCCUAAUAUGAUAAUUUUCCUGAUCCAGAAAAACCUAUACCUGCUGAACGCCACCGAGGGUCAAGUCACAGACAAGAAGCUGUGCAGUCACCAGUGUUUCCUCCUGCCCAGAAACAAAUCCACCAGAAACCCAUACCUCUGCCAAGAUUUACAGAAGGGGGAAACCCAACUGUGGAUGGGCCCCUACCCAGCUUUUCAUCUAAUUCCACUAUUUCAGAACAGGAAGCUGGCGUUCUCUGCAAGCCAUGGUAUGCUGGAGCCUGUGAUCGAAAGUCUGCUGAAGAGGCAUUGCACAGAUCAAACAAGGUCUGAUCAUUUGUAUUAUUUAUUAUUUUUAUUUUAUUUUAUUUUAUUUAUUUGUUUUGAGACACAGUUUCACUGGAGUGCAGUGGCUCGAUCUCGGCUCACUGCA
rnacentral:sRNA from 1 species